CCUCCGCUCCUUAAUUUAUUCAUAACAGCCAAGCGAGAACAACAUUGUUCUCGCGCGGUUUUGUAAUCACGCAACAGCUGCACGUCGGCGUCCCAAAUUAACAGGAACGACUUAUAUAGCUGCUAAUCGGACCCCGGAGGAGAGACGCUGUCGGACUUGCAGACGUAUUGAAUCAACAGAAAGUUGUAGCUUUCACAGUGGUCAAGAGGGACCUGGCCAGGUGCCUUUCAGAUUCCACCCCCGCUCAAGGAGUGGUUGACCGGAUGGGAUAUAUUCAGGAUUGUCUGGCUAAACCGGACUGGCGAGCUAACCAUUAGCGGAUCCAGGGAUAACUACUUCUAUCUUCUCUCUCUUUUCGAGCUGGAUGGAGAUGCAGCCCAAGAGUCUUCUCAGAAAGAACUGGAUUAUUUUCUUCACCAUUAACAAAGACUUAUCGACUUCCUUGUUUUGAGGAAAUCCUGUUGGACUAUAAACUGUGCUUUAAACUUGUAUAUACUGUACAUAGUAAUACACUUCACUGAUUGCACACCAUCUAACUGUGUCUGUGUUUUUACAAUCUGCCUCCACCUCCAGUAGACGAACCUAGAAGUUUUAACAAAUCACUUGAAUUUACUUUAAUUUGGAUUAUUCAAUUAAUAGUCCUAUAAUGUAACCUGGGUUACAUUUACUUGAAAUAAUGGAGUUCAAUGCCAGAUUUGUUUCCUACAUCUGACCAUUUCAAUAUAUUAUAAUCUUCUAACUCAGUUCAUUAAGUUUAUCUAUCUCAGUUUACUAAGUUUUUAUAACUUAAUUCAUUAAGUGUGUUUAACAUGACAAAUUUAAGUCACUCUUACUCAAAUCUUUCACUUCACUUUUGUCUAAAAUAAUUCAGACCUCUUUGACUAAAUUCUACACAAAGUCAACUCAAAUUUUUAAGCUGUUCCAAACUAAACGACUAAAAUAUCCAAAAUUACAUUAUCACUCACAUUGUACUUUAAAUACAACAGGUAACACAGGUGUGCAGAUUGACAGCUUCUGCUCAGACAAAACAGCAGCUGAAUGACUGUAUGUGCAUUAUAACCAUAAGUUUAAUGUUGUUAUGCACGCAAUUAUGUUUCUGUAAACCAUGUGUAUAUUUUGUUGACUUAUUAUGAGUUUAUUUCACUGUUUCUGUUUAUAUUAAGCUAUGCAUGUGGCAGUUAGCUAUCAUAAGGGAAUUAUUACUGAUUUCUGUCUAGCAGAUAUUUCAGUUAUUGUGUUGCUACUUCUAUGAUAAUGAUGAUAAUGUGCCUUUGCUGUAAAGCUGCAUGCUGUGUGUUAAUUCAUAACAUCUGAUCUUAAGGUUAAACAACCAGUCUGAGGUAAUAUGCCAGCUUAUUUAGCUGUAUGGUGUAUUUAAGUUCAGCUUCGCUGUAUCGUUAUGUUUAUGUUGUAACUUUGUGUUGCUCACCUUUUUCAAUGGGACAGGUGUUUGGGGUUAUGCUUGUAUCAGGAUUAGAGCUGCUGCUGACUGACUCACAUGUUAAGUGGUAAAAGGUACAGGUAGAAGUUAAAUAUAUGAAUAUGACUGUCAUGUCAAUUUGUGACAUGACAGUCUACAACUGUCUUGUUACAUUUAAUGUAGCUUGUCAAGCUGCCUAGGAAUAUAAACUAAACAUACUUGUUACUUUCUGCUAUGUUGACUUGAAUAAUACUUUCAAGAACUAGCAGAGCCUUUGGGCUCACUGCAUGUUCAAUAUUGCAUGUUUACAAACUAUUUCAGUUUUAUAGGACUUAUAAAUAGUUACAUUUUAUUUAGCAACAUGUUAGCAGAGUCAUGAUAUGAGCAGAAGUUGAUGUAGUUCAAUAAAGACUUUAAAUACUUUGAGCACAAUUUAUUUGUACAUCAUGACAAACAUUAAACUCUCAGUCUUACACAAAGAAAAUUAUAAUAUGUACAAAUUAUAAUAUGUAAAUAUAAAAUACAAAUGUACAAAAGUAACAUGUUCACAUUUGUUCUUGCUGCAACACCUGCACUUGAGCAAAAUAUAAAUUACAGUCAGUCACUGCUGUACUUCAGGAGAUGCAGUUACUGUCAAUGUGACCAUAUUAAUAAACAGUUAAUAAACAAAACUUCAGUAAAUUUACAUUCCAGUUGUUUAUCAUGUGUCACAUAGCAGGUGGUAGAGAAGGAGGUAGUAGACGGCAGGUUGACGUUGAUACUCUUUCAUCUUGUUAUUAAUGCUUCUGUUGCUUUUUCUGAUACACUUACAAUGUGUAUAAUGGAAGAGCUUUAUGGAUUUAAAAUGCUACCACACAUACAGUUCACAGCGGAUCACA